AUGUGACAACCGUCAAUUUUCGGUCAAGCCAAAGUCAACAAAAGUCAACAAGUCAAACCGGUCAACCCAAUUUGCCGUGAGUACUAGAGUUUACGUUAAGUAACUUCUAAACAACUCUCUAUUCUAAUGAGAGGUCAUAAAUUGAAAAGUGCGUUCACCUAAAUCUCCUUAACCUGAAACGGUGGUACGUAGAAAGCCAAACCGAUACGACAAUGUUACAUACUCAUCGGGAGUAUGCAAGAUCCCUAAUCAAGGCUUAACUGGGUUUACGGACCUUGCAGUGCGUAGCCGGACACUCAGAAAGGUCACCAGUGAAACCUCUCCCACAUAUCUCUAAGUAUGUGAAACCUCUCCCACAUAUCUCUAAGUAUGUGAAACCUCUCCCAUAUAUCUCUAAGUAUGUGAAACCUCUCCCAUAUAUCUCUAAGUAUGUGAAACCUCUCCC
rnacentral:lncRNA from 1 species